AUCCAAUUUAGCUGCCCAUGGGUGCAACACAUUUGUUUCUGUGCCCAGUACCAUGCAAGGGAAUGACAUAGUCAGCACAGUGUCCUGGGACGCCUGCCCUCCAGCUCAGAUAGCUCAUUCCCUGGCACAGCUGGCCUUCAUUAGUCUCUGAUAAAAGUUGACUGCAAGGCUCAACCUCCUGACCCGACUCCUCAGCCAAACACUUCAGCUGUUCUGCUACCAUGUCUCCUGGUUUUGUGUUCUGCCCUGAGAAAUUGUGACAAUGCUCUUUCCCAGGAAGACAGCAAACAAGCACCUCGUGCUUGCACUGAUGGGCCCGUGUCGGAGAACAGACACCCGCGGUGUUAGGCGCUGCACAAACACAGGACAGAGGGAGCUGCUGCCUUACUCAGUUGUCACAGAAAUCUCCGUUGAACAAAGGGACGGGACCAAACCCCCUCCCGGAGCUGGCCGCGGGAUCCCCCUGCCGGGCUCGGAGGGCACCGCAGCUCCCCCCAGCACCGCCAGGUGGUGCCGCUGCUCCGCGCUGCUCCGCGAA